GACGAACGCUGGCGGCGUGCUUAACACAUGCAAGUCGAACGGAAAAGCCCUGCUUGCAGGGUACUCGAGUGGCGAACGGGUGAGUAACACGUGGGUGAUCUGCCCUGCACUUCGGGAUAAGCCUGGGAAACUGGGUCUAAUACCGGAUAGGAGCCAUUUUUAGUGUGAUGGUUGGAAAGUUUUUUCGGUGUAGGAUGAGCUCGCGGCCUAUCAGCUUGUUGGUGGGGUAAUGGCCUACCAAGGCGGCGACGGGUAGCCGGCCUGAGAGGGUGGACGGCCACAUUGGGACUGAGAUACGGCCCAGACUCCUACGGGAGGCAGCAGUGGGGAAUAUUGCACAAUGGGCGCAAGCCUGAUGCAGCGACGCCGCGUGGGGGAUGACGGCCUUCGGGUUGUAAACUCCUUUCGCUAGGGACGAAGCUUUUUGUGACGGUACCUAGAUAAGAAGCACCGGCUAACUACGUG
rnacentral:rRNA from 1 species